UACGUAGGGGGCAAGCGUUGUCCGGAUUUAUUGGGCGUAAAGAGCGUGUAGGCGGCUUUGCAAGUCCGUUGUGAAAACUCGAGGCUCAACCUCGAGACGCCGGUGGAAACUGCAAAGCUAGAGUCCGGAAGAGGAGAGUGGAAUUCCUGGUGUAGCGGUGAAAUGCGCAGAUAUCAGGAAGAACACCCGUGGCGAAGGCGGCUCUCUGGACCGUAACUGACGCUGAGGCGCGAAAGCGUGGGGAGCAAACAGG
rnacentral:rRNA from 1 species